rnacentral:misc_RNA from 1 species
AGAUGGGUGGUCACUGGGGUGUGUUCUUGAGCAAGACACGACAACCUUAGCUCAACAAACAGGACGCCACACGGUGGCGACCAGCAAUGGCUUGGUUACAUUCUCGGCUGGCUACGCCGCUGUUGUCCCAGCGAAGAUCUCCCCAACAGCUGUGAAUGUUUCGACAUCUCCAACAGCUCCCCCUUCACCAACUCCGCCUUCCACAAGCCACAGUGCCCACAGGACAUCAACGUCAUCUUCAGGCUCUAUAACCCCUCCGCUUCCUCUGGAAAUAUCAUCAAGGCCGGUGCUGCCUCAGUACGGAACAGCCCGUUCAACCCUUCCCUGCCCACUCGUGUUGUGGCUCACGGUUUCACCGACUCUGGGGAAGCUCCGUGGAUGUUGGAGAUGAAAGACGAGUUCCUGAAACAGGUAAGCCAAUCUGUCCUUUAAAAAAAAAUUUUUUAGUAGAGG